UACGGGGGGGGGCAAGCGUUGUUCGGAAUUACUGGGCGUAAAGGGCUCGUAGGUGGCCAACUAAGUCAGACGUGAAAUCCCUCGGCUUAACCGGGGAACUGCGUCUGAUACUGGAUGGCUUGAGCUCGGGAGAGGGAUGCGGAAUUCCAGGUGUAGCGGUGAAAUGCGUAGAUAUCUGGAGGAACACCGGUGGCGAAGGCGGCAUCCUGGACCGACACUGACGCUGAGGAGCGAAAGCCAGGGGAGCAAACGGG
rnacentral:rRNA from 1 species